UACGUAGGGCGCAGGCGUUAUCCGGAAUUAUUGGGCGUAAAGAGCUCGUAGGCGGUUUGUCGCGUCUGCCGUGAAAGUCCGGGGCUCAACUCCGGAUCUGCGGUGGGUACGGGCAGACUAGAGUGAUGUAGGGGGAGACUGGAAUUCCUGGUGUAGCGGUGAAAUGCGCAGAUAUCAGGAGGAACACCGAUGGCGAAGGCAGGUCUCUGGGCAUUAACUGACGCUGAGGAGCGAAAGCAUGGGGAGCGAACAGG
rnacentral:rRNA from 1 species